AACGAACGCUGGCGGCAGGCCUAACACAUGCAAGUCGAGCGAGGACUUCGGUCCUAGCGGCGGACGGGUGAGUAACGCGUGGGAACGUGCCCUUUGCUUCGGAAUAGCCCUGGGAAACUGGGAGUAAUACCGGAUGAGUCCUUUGGGGGAAAGAUUUAUCGGCGAAGGAUCGGCCCGCGUUGGAUUAGGUAGUUGGUGGGGUAAUGGCCUACCAAGCCGACGAUCCAUAGCUGGUUUGAGAGGAUGAUCAGCCACACUGGGACUGAGACACGGCCCAGACUCCUACGGGAGGCAGCAGUGGGGAAUCUUAGACAAUGGGGGAAACCCUGAUCUAGCCAUGCCGCGUGAGCGAUGAAGGCCUUAGGGUUGUAAAGCUCUUUCAGCUGGGAAGAUAAUGACGGUACCAGCAGAAGAAGCCCCGGCUAACUCCGUG
rnacentral:rRNA from 1 species